rnacentral:antisense_RNA from 1 species
UGUGGGAGCUGGCUUGCCAGCGAUGCAGACACCUCGGUGUGUCCAGAUAAACCGAGGUGAUGCUAUCGCUGGCAAGCCAGCUCCCACA